GGGCUUGCCCGCUGCGGGAGCAGCUCCUGCCGCCCCGGCCGCCCUCACCUGUAGUCCUCGCGGGUGGCGAUGAGGCUGGACACGUUCCUGAGGAUGCCGCCCCCGCUCUCGAUGAUGGCCAGCGAGUUGCUCUGGCACUUGUAGGUGAGGGUGCUCACCAGGAAGCCCAGGGCCCCCUCCACCACGCAGAUGGCAGCUUUGUUCUCCGUGCUGUGCGCCGACAGGUUCCAGAGCGCGCUGAGGACGCUCUUGAGAGUCGACUCCUGCCCGGGGACAGGUCCCCAUCAGCCCCCGCCGCCAGAGCCCCCUCGCCCCGCUGCAGAGCGCUCACCUUGGCGGCGUGCAGCGCGCACUGCGUCAGCCCCGUGACGCUGCCCACCUCCCGCAGCACCUUCUUGCUGUUGAUGUCGGCCCUCCAGGAGAGGUUCCUCAGGAUGCUGGACACCACCUGCGAGGGCAGAGCGAGGGCACGGGCAGUCCUGCGCGCCGGGGCUCUCCUGGGCGUCCCGGCAGCAGCGGCACCCCGGGGCGGCCCCGUGCUGGGGUGCGUGGCCUGUCCCCGUCCCCGUCCCCGUCCCCGUCCCCGUCCCCAUCCCAGCCCACCCACCUGGUGCAGCUCCUCGCUGUCGGAGGCCAGCUGGGCCACGAUGGCCUCCAUGCAGCCAGUCCCAGCAGGUCUCCGAGUAGGAGCGGAUCUGCUCCAGCACGUGCAGCACCCGCAUCUCCUUCUUGGCCUGGCCCUCGUCGGGCUGCGAGAAGACGAUGUUGUGCAGGGCGGCGUUGGCCCGCAUGCGGGCGUCCUUGGCGCCGGCGGGGCUCUCGGGGGGCCCCGGCUCCCGGUCCGUGUCGUGCAGGAUCUGGAUGAGCAGGGGCAGGCAGCCCGACUUGCGCAUGGCCAGGCAGCUCUCCUGCGAGCUGGACAUGGCCAGCAGCGUGCGGGACAUGUCGUCCUUGUCCCGCGUCGCCAGCAUGGACAGGAGCCAGAAGACCACCUCCACCUGCGGGCCGGGCAGCCGCGGUUACGCCCUGGGGCCGGGCUGUGUCUCCGCUCCGGCGCCCAGCGGGGCCGGCUCCUACCUUGCUGUUGCCCAGGCUGCCGCCCCCGUCUUCGGGGUGGGUCGGGAUCUCGAGGCUGCUGUCCUCCUCCAUGCCCGGCAGCUUCCCGCAGAGCUGCGGAGGACGGGACAGGCGGGGCCGCGUUGCAGCACGGCCGGUCCCGGUCCCGGUCCCGGCUGGCUCGUGGUGGCCACGCCGCGACCCGGAGAGGCCGAGCGCGCCGUGCCCCGCAGCGAUGCACGGCACCGCGCCUUCCCCACGCGCCGGGCGCUUUGCACGGCCCCGGCUGCACCGCUAAAUUCUGCAGCAUUUCUCAACCGUUGCAACUGCUGCUUUCUUAAAUGCCGCAGCCGUAUUUUUAAGCUGAAACCGGAGCUGAGCAGCGAGCGCUGCCACGAUAACGUGCGCGGGAGAGGCAGCGCGUGGGUAAUGAGCAGGGAGGG
rnacentral:lncRNA from 1 species